GGGUCAGGUGUGUGGUGUUGAGCUUGGUUCCUCCGCCUCCCAAACAAACUCGUUUUGCUGGGAAGAGGACUGGCUGCUUUGUAUUUAAAGUUACCAGCAUUCUUGUUCUCGGCUGAGAAAUGGACACUGGAAGGUGCCACAUAACCCGGCAGGGAACGUGGGAAGGCUGCUGGUGAGCUCACUUUCCUCCCCUAAAGGCUCCAGGCAUCCUGAUCAGUCCUGCCUCCGCACCUCUGCCCAGGCUGUGCGAGACCCAGACCGCCUGCUCUCCCCACCGCACCUCUGCAAGGCCUUCCGUCUCCAGCGCCUGACCACAGCUCUCACGCGUCUCUUUGGGAAGUUAGCCGCGAUGGCCCCAGGUGAAGG